rnacentral:rRNA from 1 species
GGGGGGCGCAGCUACCAUGCAGUCGAGCGGUAGAGAAGGAGCUUGCUUCUUCUUGAGAGCGGCGGACGGGUGAGUAAUGCCUAGGAAUCUGCCUGGUAGUGGGGGACAACGUUUCGAAAGGAACGCUAAUACCGCAUACGUCCUACGGGAGAAAGUGGGGGAUCUUCGGACCUCACGCUAUCAGAUGAGCCUAGGUCGGAUUAGCUUGUAGGUGAGGUAAUGGCUCACCUAGGCAACGAUCCGUAACUGGUCUGAGAGGAUGAUCAGUCACACUGGAACUGAGACACGGUCCAGACUCCUACGGGAGGCAGCAGUGGGGAAUAUUGGACAAUGGGCGAAAGCCUGAUCCAGCCAUGCCGCGUGUGUGAAGAAGGUCUUCGGAUUGUAAAGCACUUUAAGUUGGGAGGAAGGGUUGUAGCUUAAUACGCUGCAACUUUGACGUUACCAACAGAAUAAGCACCGGCUAACUCUGUGCCAGCAGCCGCGGUAAUACAGAGGGUGCAAGCGUUAAUCGGAAUUACUGGGCGUAAAGCGCGCGUAGGCGGCUUGAUAAGAUGGGUGUGAAAUCCCCGGGCUUAACCUGGGAACUGCAUCCAUAACUGUCUGGCUAGAGUACAGUAGAGGGUGGUGGAAUUUCCUGUGUAGCGGUGAAAUGCGUAGAUAUAGGAAGGAACACCAGUGGCGAAGGCGACCACCUGGACUGAUACUGACGCUGAGGUGCGAAAGCGUGGGGAGCAAACAGGAUUAGAUACCCUGGUAGUCCACGCCGUAAACGAUGUCAACUAGCCGUUGGAAUCCUUGAGAUUUUAGUGGCGCAGCUAACGCACUAAGUUGACCGCCUGGGGAGUACGGUCGCAAGAUUAAAACUCAAUGAAUUGACGGGGGCCCGCACAAGCGGUGGAGCAUGUGGUUUAUUUCGAAGCAACGCGAAGAACCUUUACCUGGCCUUUGACAUGCAGAGAACUUUCCAGAGAUGGAUUGGUGCCU